rnacentral:rRNA from 1 species
UGGGAAAUACGUGGUUAAAUGUAUUUAUAAAGAAUAUUAAGCUUGUAGUUUGUUCGAAGGUUGUGUGAAUUUUGUAAGUAUUGUGAAGGAAGAUUUUAUUAAGUUUAAAGAAAGGUAAGAUUACUACCUUUUGUAUUAGGGAUGAUUAAAGGAAAAGAUUUUUAGAAUUAUUCUCGAGGAAUAUAUGGGCUAAAGUUUUGUUUAAGAUAUACGUCGAAGAGUAUAUUAAUAAAAAGUUUUAGUGAUGAUAUAUUAUUCAAAUUAUUUUGUUUCUAGUUUCCCAAGAAAAUUAAUUUAAAUUAGAUUUAUUAAUUCGUCCGAUGGGGAUUAGUUUGUCGGUGAAAUUGUAUCAAGUUAUAAAUUUAGAUUUAACUUUAGGUUGAGUUAGAAGUGCUUAUGUGAAUUAAGUUGCUAUCAUAAAGUGGAGGUGAGUUAAUUUUCUAUAUAUGUACUAAGUUAUUGGGUAAAGGAUAAUAAUAAAAAUUAUCCUAGUAUAAUGAUUAUAUUAGUAAAAAUUUUGUUUAUAAUUUAAUUAUGAAAGAUAAAGGGUAGUUUAAUAGAUUAUUUGAAGUUAAUAAGUUUUUGUUGAUGAAUUCGGCAAUAGCAUCUGUGACUGUUUAGCAAAUACAUUGUUUAUUGGAAAAUUAAUAAGUAAUUUCUGCCCACUGCGUUAGGUAAAGGGCUGCAGUAUUUUGACUGUAUAAAGGUAGCAUAAUCAUUAGCUUCUUAAUUUGGAGCUGGUAUGAAAGAGUAAACGUGGAUGCGAUGUAUUUAGAAAAUAAUUGAAUUUUAUUGCUUUGUGAAAAAUCAAAGAUUAGUCUAAUAGACAAGAAGACCCUAAAAAUUUUAUUAAUAAUUAUAAUGAGUAUAAAGAGAUUAGUACAAUUUAUGAGGGUUAGUUUUACUGGGGCGGUGAAUAAUAAUACGUUAUUAAAUUUUUAAUGAGGAUAAGCGGUAUUAAGACCUAGUGUGGUUAGAUAAUCGGAAAAUUACUUUAGGGAUAACAGCGUUAUCAUUUUAAAAAGUUCUAAUUGACAAAAUGGUUUGCGACCUCGAUGUUGGAUUAAGAUGAAAUGGUGGCGCAGUAGUCGUCAAUCUUUGGUCUGUUCGACCAUUAGAAUCUUACAUGAUCUGAGUUCAAACCGGCGUGAGCCAGGUUGGUUUCUAUCUUUAGACAAAAGAGGUGUGAUAUUAGUACGAAAGGACCGUAUCAUUAAAAGGGUUUUAAAAAGUUAUUUGA